UGAAAAGUUAGGGUUUUGCCUUGGGUCAC
rnacentral:piRNA from 1 species